rnacentral:rRNA from 1 species
UACGGAGGGUGCAAGCGUUAUCCGGAAUUACUGGGCGUAAAGAGCUCGUAGGUGGUUUGUCGCGUUGUCCGUGAAAACUCACAACUCAAUUGUGGGCGUGCGGGCGAUACGGGCAGACUGGAGUACUGCAGGGGAGACUGGAAUUCCUGGUGUAGCGGUGGAAUGCGCAGAUAUCAGGAGGAACACCGGUGGCGAAGGCGGAUCUCUGGGCCGUAACUGACGCUGAGGAGCGAAAGCAUGGGGAGCGAACAGG